rnacentral:rRNA from 1 species
GGAUUAGAUACCCUGGUAGUCCACGCAGUAAACGGUGAUCACUAGGUGUUGCGGGUAACCACUCCUGCAGUGCCGCAGCUAACGCAUUAAGUAUCCCGCCUGGGGAGUACGGCCGCAAGGCUAAAACUCAAAGGAAUUGACGGGGGCUCACACAAGCGGUGGAGCAUGUGGCUUAAUUCGAAACAACGCGAAGAACCUUAUCCUGGGUUUGACAUGUAUGGAUUAACUCUAUGAAAGUAGAGCCACGCCUUCGGGUGGAACAUACACAGGUGCUGCAUGGCUGUCGUCAGCUCGUGCUG